UAUAUUUUGAAGUGCAAAGGGACACACUGGAUCCUUCACUGAGGAGCCAAACUCACACCCUGAUUGUCUCAUGAAAGAAGCACUGCAAGGAUUUGGGGUGGGAAAGAGAAGCAAGACAUUACUCCUUAGACACCUAAAGCCAUCACUGAUUGUUCACCAGUCUGGCUGGAACAAGAUCCUCGGAGGUAUUUAAGUGCCUGAGUCCCAGGAAUCUAAAUACCUUUGAAAAUCUCAGCUGUCAUCUGUCUCACGAUCAGCAGAUCCAGAUAACUUGCAUCCAAGAGCUUCAAAAGAGCCAUCUGAGAAGCUUGCUGGACUAUUAAUGUUGAUUUUCAGUAAGACUUGGCACGCUGGGGAAGUUCCAGAACACUAGAAGAAAGAGUGGAUAGUGGCAUUAAGAUCGAACCUUCCAGGAUCACUUCUGAAGAUGCCAGGCUUUCGCAAUGGCAUGCACACUGUACCACACUAAGGAGAGAGCAGGGUCUGCAACUGUAUCCGACUCCUCUGUGGACUGC